rnacentral:rRNA from 1 species
AACGAACGCUGGCGGCAGGCCUAAAACAUGCAAGUCGAACGCUGUAGCAAUACAGAGUGGCGCACGGGUGAGUAACACGUGGGAAUGUGCCUUUUGGUACGGAACAACUUUUGGAAACGAAAGCUAAUACCGUAUGGUCCCUUCGGGGUAAAGAUUUAUCGCCAAAAGAGCAGCCAGUGUCUGAUUAGCUAGUGGGUAGGGUAAUGGCCUACCAAGGCGACGAUCAGUAGCUGGUCUGAGAGGACGAUCAGCCACACCGGGACUGAGACACGGCACAGACUCCUACGGGAGGCAGCAGUUAGGAAUAUUGGACAAUGGGCGCAAGCCUGAUCCAGCCAUGCCGCGUGAGUGAUGAAGGCCUUCGGGUUGUAAAGCUCUUUAGUCCACGAAUAUAAUGACUGUAGUGGAAGAAUAAGCCCCGGCUAACUUCGUGCCAGCCGCCGCUGUAACAC